AGUAAAGGACCCUGGAGGGAGUGGCCUGUCCUAGCUAUAGAGAAGUGCGUUAUUUUUAUCUUUUUAUCUUUUUUUUUUUUUUUAAGAAUCACGUUUUAUAAGUAUGUCGGAAUGGUUCUCCAGAGAGAGAGAGAGAGAGUGAACACACUAAGGGAACUAGAAACCUGGAAACAACUGAAAUAGAGGCAGUGUCUGUUGAAAGCGAGUUUGUGGAAGCGUCACCUGAUGAACUCCUCCUGAUCACCUCUAUGGAUCCCUCCAGCUAAUCAGAACUGACUUCAUCGACAGCUUAUAUGGUUAAUUACAGUAGUGCUUUACCUGAAUGCCCCAAGUUAUUGAUGUAGUCAACAACCGCGUCAAGCCUCUGAACACUAGAAAUCUUGGAUAAACCUGGGAGACAGCUUGUCAAUAUCUAAGGGACAGAAUGAAGACAUGGAUUUGGAUGGUUUUCAGCUGAGGAGAAUCUGGGAGGAGAUGAGGGAGGUGAAACCCUGAGUAGAAAAUGCUUUAUGAAAAAAACUUCAACGUAAAUACAUACACUUGAAUAAAAAAGAAGGCUGUGCCUGGAGAAAUGGCUCAUCAGUAGAGCAUGGGCUGCUCUUGCUGGAGACCCUUGUUCCUUUCUCAGCACCCACUCAAGAAGACUAACAACCUUCUGCGGUUCCAGCUCCAGGAGGAACUGUUAAGUCUGGUCUCUGAGAACUCCCAAAUGCUCAAUCAAGCCAGAAUUCAUUUAUACUUCCUCCUUUCUGAGUCUAAAAUGAAACUGCAGCUCAGUUAUCACUUAUUUGUCAAGAUGUAAGAAGAGAUUCCUUUCCUUGGAUUCUAUUUAGAGGGAACUACAUAAAAGACAGAAAGGGAACUGUUGAAAGCAAUUUUAGUGGGACAGAAAGUAAUAAAGUUGGAGUACGUGUGACAAGGUCCAGGAACUUUAGGCACCGUCUCUAGUCUCACAGAUGCUAAGGAUUGAGAUGACAAGGACCAAAGAGAUGACACCUUCAGGACAGUGAGACAUGUCUGCUCCCUUCAGCACCGAUUUAUUUCAAAGAGAAAGAUGGGCAUCGAGGACACUCUUUAUGGAGUUUUUCUUCUUCUUGGCAAUGACAGCCAUUUGGGUGAGAAACUGUUUUUGCCUGGACUGCUUGACAAAAUGUCAUAUCAACUGGAUAUGUGGGACCUAUAGGAAGGUGACCACUGAACUUUGCAAGCUGUGAUAUAGGAGCCAAAAACUGUGAAUUACUGCAGCGAUUGUCAGCAGGAACUACAGAGUAUCACCUACAUCGCCGAUGACCCAAUGAGUUCCUAUGUGGCCCCGGGUUUGAAGCUAUCCAUGGAAGACUGAUGCUUGAGUAGAACAGAAUAUGGUGGAGCAGCCCUGGAGUUGGUGUUAUAGGCAGUUGUAAGGCACUCAAUUCGGGUCCUGGGAAAUAGACUUCAGCCCUCUGAAGGGGUAACAAAUGCUCUCAACUAUGGAGUCAUCGAUCUGUUCUCCACUGGGCAGCUGAGAGUAACCAUACUCAGGUAUGCUCCAACCAGGCAUUGAUUGAAGUUUAUUUGAUGUAUGCAUCUUGAGUAAGCUGGGGCCAUACUUUUGGAAAGGAAGCAUGUCAUUUAAAAGGGACACACUAGUCACAGCUUCUAAAGAUCAUCUAUUAGCAACGCAAGAAAUUAAGCUGAUGUUAGCCUUGGUAACCAAUCUGAGAUAAUACUUAUCAUACUUCUUGACUUGUAAUUACUCUUUUUCUUCCUUUUCAGGUCCCAGUGUCCUCUCAAAUGAAGAUACUCUAUGAACCUAGCAGUUAAGUAUGGGAAAAUCAUGGGGACAUAUUAUCUACACAAAAUUAUUUAUAAUGAUUUUAUUUUCAGAGUGCAAAAUCAAAAUACAAAUUUUAAAAAUAAUAAAUGGUACAGAAUUGAUUAUAUUUCUUCUUGAAAAAUUUUAUGACAUUUAUUAACAAUAGAUAUAAUCAAUACCAACAACAAUACAGAAAUAUGUACAUUUCUAUACACCUUAAAAAUAUGAUCACAGUUCUAUUUGGGGAAAAUAUGCACUGAAGAGCUAUCUCAUUUGAAGUGAAUCUUAAUUAGAAUGUAAUGAUAAAUCCGCACAAUUUACUACUGUAGUUUCAACUGAGAUAGCAAGACCACAUUUCAUACAGUUCAAAAUAAUUUCCCAGUGCCCACCUGCACCGCACCUGUGAAACCAGCUGGGGUUUGUUUGUUCUCUAGAUUUAUGGCCAGACUUCCCAGUCAAUGCAUCAUUAAUUUCAGAUUUUAUAAUGUCGUUUUCUUAGGUUCUCCACCCCAUUGCUUUGGAAUUGAUGGAGAAUAAUUGAGCAAAAUUAUCAGUGCUAUCCAAGGAUGUUGAAAACAGGAAGGAUUUUUUUUUUUAAUGUAACACAUAAACA